UUAUCCCAUUUAUUUGUUUUUAUUUCAGGAUUAUUACUGAAAAUAAAUUUAUUUUAAGGAGAAGGGGGAUGUUAAAAAAUGACCCCCCCCAGUUGUCACAUAUGGUGGGUAUGGACCAUUAAUGUUAGUCUCCUGGCUAUUCCCAUUUCCUAGGUCGGUUAAGAGAAGCUUCAUUGUCUUGGGUUGCAUAAACCUUUCCAUAAAAUACAAUUGCUCUGGGCCUCACUGCUUUGGUUUCCCCUUGGAAGGAAGUGGAGGUGGGGGUGAGCUAUGACUCAUUGAUUUUCCUCUGACCACGGAAGAAAUUCUUGAAACUCAGGCAAUUCGUGACUGAAGGACAGAUCAUUUAUCCUAGAAGCAUCAAUCACCGGAGCAGAGGGGCAUGAUGAAAAUACAUGAGGGCCUAUCAAGCCCUUGCCUGAGGUGCAGGAAGCAUGGGUGUUCAUUGAAUCGAAGAGCUGGAGUGACGGGGACAAUUCUCAGGCACACUCCGGUCUAGGCAGCACCUGAACCUGCCUCCUGGACAGAGUCUUUCUGGGAGAGAUGAUGCUGGGAAAGCAUCCGGCAGCUGUGCUCGCCCUGAAGCACAUCUCCAGGGGCACAUCUUAAAUCUGCAGCUGUGCACAGGCUGCUCUGCCAUGAAUCAAAGGGAAGUGGCUCUGAGAGACCUGAGAAAACAGCUGAGCCUGAGGCACCUGGGUGGGGCCCUCUGGUCUGGCUGGAACACAGGAGCUCACGGAUUGUUAAGGAACCACUGGUAUCUAGAAGAGGGUCUGACACCAGCCACUUUGGUAGGGGCCAGAUCUGUCACCACACUCUGGGCACUGCCUCCCCGACUUGCAAACCCUCUGGGGCACAUUUCCACCGGUGCUAGAAGCUCCCCAACUCCCAGCCUCUGA
rnacentral:lncRNA from 1 species